GCGACCCCAGGUCAGGCGGGACUACCCGCUGAGUUUAAGCAUAUAAAUAAGCGGAGGAGAAGAAACUUACAAGGAUUCCCCUAGUAACGGCGA
rnacentral:rRNA from 2 species